rnacentral:rRNA from 1 species
CCAGCACCCGCGGUAAUUCCAGCUCCAAUAGCGUAUAUUAAAGUUGUUGCAGUUAAAGAGCUCGUAGUUGGAUUUCUGGCGGGAUGAACACGCCCUCAGCUGAGUGUGCAUGAGCGUCUCACCAUCCUUCUGUUAACCCUUAAGGUUUUAACGACCUUCUGGGGGCUCAGAUAUUUUACCUUGAGAAAAUUAGAGUGUUUCAGGCAGGCUAGCGCCGGGAUACAUUAGCAUGGAAUAAUGGAAUAGGACUUUUUCCUCUUCUGUUGGUCUGAGGGGUUCGAGUAAUGAUUAAUAGGGAUAGUUGGGGGCAUUAGUACUUUGCUGUCAGAGGUGAAAUUCUCGGAUUUGCAAAAGACUAACUUAUGCGAAAGCAUUUGCCAAGGAUGUUUUCAUCAAUCAAGAACGAAAGU